GGGUUGUGAGGUUAAGCGACUAAGCGUACACGGUGGAUGCCCUGGCAGUCAGAGGCGAUGAAGGACGUGCUAAUCUGCGAUAAGCGCCGGUAAGGUGAUAUGAACCGUUAUAACCGGCGAUUUCCGAAUGGGGAAACCCAGUGUGAUUCGUCACACUAUCAUUAACUGAAUCCAUAGGUUAAUGAGGCGAACCGGGGGAACUGAAACAUCUAAGUACCCCGAGGAAAAGAAAUCAACCGAGAUUCCCCCAGUAGCGGCGAGCGAACGGGGAGGAGCCCAGAGCCUGAAUCAGCAUGUGUGUUAGUGGAAGCGUCUGGAAAGGCGCGCGAUACAGGGUGACAGCCCCGUACACAAAAGCGCAUGUGCUGUGAGCUCGAUGAGUAGGGCGGGACACGUGGUAUCCUGUCUGAAUAUGGGGGGACCAUCCUCCAAGGCUAAAUACUCCUGACUGACCGAUAGUGAACCAGUACCGUGAGGGAAAGGCGAAAAGAACCCCGGCGAGGGGAGUGAAAAAGAACCUGAAACCGUGUACGUACAAGCAGUGGGAGCACCCUUCGGGGUGUGACUGCGUACCUUUUGUAUAAUGGGUCAGCGACUUAUAUUCUGUAGCAAGGUUAACCGUAUAGGGGAGC
rnacentral:rRNA from 1 species